rnacentral:rRNA from 1 species
UACGGAGGGUGCAAGCGUUAUCCGGAUUCACUGGGUUUAAAGGGUGUGUAGGCGGAUUUUUUAAGUCAGUGGUGAAAUCUCCGGGCUCAACCCGGAAACUGCCAUUGAUACUAUUAGUCUUGAAUUCUGUUGAGGUGGGCGGAAUACAUCAUGUAGCGGUGAAAUGCUUAGAUAUGAUGUAGAACACCGAUUGCGAAGGCAGCUCACUAAGCAGACAUUGACGCUGAGGCACGAAAGCGUGGGGAUCAAACAGG